UACGUAGGGGGCAAGCGUUGUCCGGAUUUAUUGGGCGUAAAGAGCUCGUAGGUGGUUCGGUAAGUCGGAUGUGAAAUCUCCAGGCUCAACCUGGAGGGGUCAUUCGAUACUGCCGUGACUAGAGGUCGGUAGGGGAGUGUGGAAUUCCUGGUGGAGCGGUGAAAUGCGCAGAUAUCAGGAGGAACACCCGUGGCGAAAGCGGCUCUCUGGGACGGUACUGACGCUGAGACGCGAAAGCGUGGGGAGCAAACAGG
rnacentral:rRNA from 1 species